rnacentral:tRNA from 1 species
GAGGGUGUCACUCAGGGGUAGAGCACGUGCUUAGCAUGCAGGAGGUCCUGGGUUCAACCCCCAGCACCUCUA